CGACGCCGUGGGGCGAGGGGCGGCCCGGCUGGCACCUCGAGUGCUCGGCGAUGGCCACCGCCUAUCUCGGCGGCGAGUUCGACAUCCACGGCGGCGGC
rnacentral:tRNA from 1 species